GUGGUCCACGGGGGGCAGCAGUAGGGAAUUUUCGUCAAUGGGCGCAAGCCUGAACGAGCAAUGCCGCGUGAACGAGGAAGGUCUUCGGAUCGUAAAGUUCUGUUGAAGGGGAAAAAGAGCGGAGAGAGGAAAUGGUCUCCGAUUGAUAUUACCCUUCGAGGAGGUCACGGCUAACUACGUGCCAGCAGCCGCGGUAAUACGUAGGUGGCGAGCGUUGUCCGGAUUUAUUGGGCGUAAAGCGAGUGCAGGCGGUUCAAUAAGU
rnacentral:rRNA from 1 species